ensembl:snoRNA
GUUCUCCAGUGAUGUCUUUGCACUGGGCUCUGAAUGUCUGUGAAGACAGAGUGCAGCCCCACUCCUGACAUGGUGGGGUCUGAGGAGAAC